rnacentral:rRNA from 1 species
UACGAAGGGGGCUAGCGUUGCUCGGAAUUACUGGGCGUAAAGGGAGCGUAGGCGGGUUAUCAAGUUGGAGGGGAAAGCCCAGGGCUCAACCUUGGAAUUGCCUUCAAAACUGAUAGCCUAGAGUAUGAUAGAGGUAAGUGGAACUCCGAGUGUAGAGGUGAAAUUCGUAGAUAUCUGGAGGAAUACCGGUGGCGAAGGCGGCAUCCUGGACCGGCAUUGACGCUGAGGAGCGAAAGCCAGGGGAGCAAACGGG